UCGGCCAAGUCCUCCUUCAGCCUCCUAGCGCCCAUCCGAGCCCAGGACGUCCGCAGCAGGAGCUACCUGGAGGGGAGCCUGCUGGCGAGCGGGGCCCUGAUGGGGGCGGAGGAGCUGGCCCGGUACUUCCCCGACCGCACCCUGGCCCUCUUUGUGGCCACGUGGAACAUGCAGGGCCAGAAGGUGAGCGGGCGCCCAUGCGUCUCGGGAUGCGGCCGGGGUUCCUGCCUGUUCCUUCUGGCCUGAGCCACACCCAGGAUGCCUCCUGCCAGUGCCCCCUCCCCCGCCCCCGCUUCAGUGACUGGGCAGCCCCUCUCGUUAGAGCGAUUUCAGGCGGACAGCACAUUGGAGAGGAAGGCCAGCCUCUCCCUGAGGCCUCCCCCAGCAGCCUCCCUCUCCCCACGUUGAACCGCUGGCUCAGGUCACCCAGGGCCCCAAGUCUACCUCGGGGUCACUCCUGUUCGCUCCACGGGGCCUGGUGAAUGUGGAGGAGGAGACAGGUGCCCAGCUGGUAGCCCCACUGUCCUCAGGGCACCACCGUCCCGUCCACAGGGUGUCCCUCUCUCGUCCUGUGCCUGCGGGACUCACAGGGCUAAAGCCAGGUGGCCGUGCGGCCGCAGGGUGGAGUGGCCCGCUGCACCCAGGCCCGGUGUGCACGUGGGGGGCACACACUUAGGGUCACGCUCAGGCCUGGUGUGCACGUGGGGGGCACACACUUAGGGUCACGCUCAGGCCUGGUGUGCACGUGGGGGGCACACUUAGGGUCAGGCUCAGGCCCGGUGUGCACGUGGGGAGCACACACUUAGGGUCAGGCUCAGGGCCAGACGCAGCUGAGCAGCAGCUGGGGGCACAGCCUGGGGGCGGGUGCAGGCCG